CGCUGCUAUCUGGUUGAGACUAAGCCAUGCUAGUCAAGGGGCUUGCUUCGGCAAGCACCGGCGAACAGCUCAGUAACACGUGGACAACCUACCUUCGGGAGGGGAAUAACCCCGGGAAACUGGGGCUAAUACCCCAUAGGUCAUGGAUACUGGAAUGUUCCAUGACUGAAAGCGUUAGCGCCCGAGGAUGGGUCUGCGGCGGAUUAGGUUGUUGGCGGGGUAAUGGCCCACCAAGCCGAAGAUCCGUACGGGCUGUGGGAGCAGGAGCCCGGAGAUGGACCCUGAGACAAGGGUCCAGGCCCUACGGGACGCAGCAGGCGCGAAAACUUCGCAAUGCACGAAAGUGCGACGAGGUUAGCCAGUGUGACCGUGCAUCGCACGGGCUGUCCGGGUGCCUAAACAGCACCCGAUAGCAAGGGCUGGGCAAGGCCGGUGGCAGCCGCCGCGGUAAUACCGGCGGCCCGAGUGGCGGCCACUAUUAUUGGGCCUAAAGCGUCCGUAGCCGGUUUGGUAAGUCCCCCGGGAAAUCUGGUCGCUCAACGAUCAGACUGCUGGGGGAUACUGCCAAGCUUGGGACCGGGAGAGGUCGAGGGUAUUCCCGGAGUAGGGGUGAAAUCCUGUAAUCCCGGGAGGACCACCUGUGGCGAAGGCGCUCGACUAGAACGGGUCCGACGGUGAGGGACGAAGGCCUGGGGAGCGAACCGGAUUAGAUACCCGGGUAGUCCAGGCUGUAAACGAUGCGGGCUGGGUGUCACCGGAGUCACGAGCUCAGGUGGUGCCGGAGGGAAGCCGUUAAGCCCGCCGCCUGGGAAGUACGGUCGCAAGACUGAAACUUAAAGGAAUUGGCGGGGGAGCACUACAACGGGUGGAGCCUGCGGUUUAAUUGGAUUCAACGCCGGGAAGCUUACCGGGGGAGACAGCUGAAUGAAGGUCAACCUGAAGAGUUUACCAGACUAGCUGAGAGGUGGUGCAUGGCCGCCGUCAGUUCGUACUGUGAAGCAUCCUGUUAAGUCAGGCAACGAGCGAGACCCGCGCCCUCAAUUGCCAGCAGGUCCCUUCGGGGAUGCCGGGCACACUGAGGGGACUGCCGGCGCUAAGCCGGAGGAAGGUGCGGGCAACGGCAGGUCCGUAUGCCCCGAAUCCCUCGGGCUACACGCGGGCUACAAUGGCCAGGACAAUGGGUACCGACCCUGAAAGGGGAAGGUAAUCUCCUAAACCUGGUCUAACCUGGGAUCGAGGGCUGCAACUCGCCCUCGCGAACCUGGAAUCCGUAGUAAUCGCGCCUCAAAAUGGCGCGGUGAAUACGUCCCUGCUCCUUGCACACACCGCCCGUCAAGCCACCCGAGUGAGCUAUGGGUGAGGCCUUGUCCUCAGGGCGAGGUCGAACCUAGGGUUCGCGAGGGGGGCU
rnacentral:rRNA from 1 species